CUUCAAACUUCUGUGUUUAAAAUUUAUUGUAUAAAACUAGAAAAAACCCUGAGCACAUAAGAGUACCAGAAGAACCAAUUUCAGAAUAUAGAUGCAGGAUUCCUAAAUAAAACAGUAACCAACUGAAUCUAGCACAAAUUAAUGAAAAAUAUGUGCAUGGUAGAUAACUCAAUACAUAAAUAUGAAGUAAAAUGAGGUACCAUUUUUGUGCAGAGGUUACUAACUUGGCAGAGAUUUUAAGAGAAAUACUACCAACUAUAGGCAAUGGAUGGAGAAAAUAGGCAUUCUUAUAUGUUUCUGGUGUGAAACCAAAUUGGUACCACCUUUCAAGGGGUCAAUUUUACUAUAUAUAACAAAACUCUUAAUAUUCCAUGCAACUUUUAAUCCAGAAGUUCCACCUCUAGGAAUUUAUUUUCAGGAAGCAAUCAUGAUAUUCACAAAAAUUUAGCUAUGAGGAUAUUCAUUUCAGUGUUAUUUAUAAUAUUGAAACAUUAAUAACAAUGUAUCUGUCCACUAAUACUGACUUCAUAAAAUAAAAUACCAGACACAAAAUAAUGUUGAAGAAUAAUUUUAAUAACAUGAACAUAUGAUAAUGUUACAUUCAGUGAAAUACACAGUUUCAAAACAGUAUUUUUUUGUAUUACAAGGGAUUCUUUCUGUUGCAAGUAAUGAAAACUCAACUAAAAAUGGCUUAAGAGAAAGAAAAGGAAGAUAUUGAUUCAUAAUACUGGAAAGUCCAGGGCCACAGUGCCUUCAGGUAAGGCUGCAUCCAGCCUCAUCAUCAGUAAUCUGUUUCCGUCUCUUGGUUUGGCUUUACUUUCAGAUAGACCCUCUAAAAGCAUUGUUAAAGAGAGCUACCAGCAGCUCUGGGAUUGUGCUUUACCAACUUGAUAACCUAACAGGACAAGAGAAUUUCCUUUCAAAUCAUUCUAGCAAAAAUCCUAGGGCUGAAUCUCAUUGGCCAGGUCUGGCUCAUGUACUCCUCUCUUUAACUGAGAGGAGGUGUGAGUCCCAUUUGAACUAUGUCAUAAUAAUGAUAGCUGAAAUUUAUUGAAUAUUGAUUAUGUGUCAGAUUAUGAGUCUGAGUCCCAUGAUUUGAUGUGUAACUUUGAGCAAUUUAACCUUCCUAAGCCAGAAAAGAACACAUAAUCUGUGUCCUCUGUAUUAUUUCACUAAAUUCUCUUGGCAAUCCUAGUGAAACAGAUUCUGUGUCCAUCCUCAUUUUAUGGAUGAAGAAACUGAAGCUCAGGCAGGUUAAUUAUUGUCUUAGUCCAUUUAGCAUUGCUAUAAAGGAAUACCUGAGGCUGGGUAAUUUCUAAAGAAAAGAGGCCAAUUUGGCUUAUGGGUCUUUGGCUUUACAAGAAGCAUGGCACUGGCAUCUGCAUCAGGUGAGGGCCUCAGGCUGCUUCUACUAAUGGUGGAAAGUGAAGGGGAGCCAGCGUGUGUGGAGAUCACAUGGCGAGAGAGGAAGCAAGGUGUGGAGGCGGUGCCAGGCUCUUUUUAACAAUCAGUUCUCCCGGUAAUGAACAGAGGAAGAACUUACCCUUGAGCGAAGGCACUAAUUUAUUGAUGAGGGACCCACCCCCAUGACCCACAUACCUCCCACUGGGCCCGACCUUCAACAUUAGGGAUCAAAUUUCAAUAUGGGAUUUGAAGGAGACAAACAUCCAAACUAAAGCAAGUUUAUUAUUUAAGUUGAAAGAAUUAGCAAAUGAUGCAUUCACUCACAUGGAUUGAGAAUAUGGGAGGCAGCAGUUCUUCAAAGAAGAAUCAGAUGCUGCUUCAGACAUUGACUAUGAAGCCCAAAACAAAAGUAAAGAAAAACAAAACAACCCCAUAGAAUAAACAAGCAUACAAAAACUUUAAAAGUCUACUAUUAAUAUACUUGGAAAGGUACAGAAUAGAUUGCACCCAUGUUAUAAGAACAGAAUAAGAUCCUGAUAAUUUUAAGAGAAGAAAAAAGGGCCCUUAAAAAUUAAAGCAAGAGAGUAGACCUGAAAAAUGUAACAGAAGAGUUGGACGAUAAACUUGAGGAAAUCGCCCAAGAAGACACGGAGAUGAACAAUAGAAGAGAAAAGAUACAGAAGAUUAGAGAUUAAGACUGGCGUGUUCAGGCCGGGUGCGGUGGCUCACGCCUGUAAUCCCAGCACUUUGGAAGGCCGAGACGGGCGGAUCACGAGGUUAGGAGAUCGAGACCAUCCUGGCUAACAUGGUGAAACCCUGUCUCUACUAAAAAUACAAAAAAAAUUAGCUGGGCGUGGUGGCGGGCACCUGUGGUCCCAGCUACUCGGGAGGCUGAGGCAGGAGAAUGGUGUGAACCUGGGAGGCGGAGCUGGCAGUGAGCCGAGAUCGCGCCACUGCACUCUAGCCUGGGCGACAGAGGGAGACUCUGUCUCAAAAAAAAAAAAAAAACAAAAAAAAACCGGUGUGUUCAAUAUUUGAAUAAUUGGUGCUCAAGAGAGAAAAAGAAUAUGUAGGAGAGGCAGUCAUCAAUAAAACCAUACAGAAAAGUUUACUCAAAACUCAAGAAGGACAUGAGUUUCCAGAUUGAAAGGGUUCUUCAAGUGCCCAGAGAAACGGAUGAAAAAAGACCUGUCAAGGCACGUUAUCAUGGAGUUUCAGAACAAAGUCCAAGAGAUCUUAAAAGCUUAGAGAGCAAGGGAGAGGGUACAUACGAAGAUCAAAUAUAAAGGAUCGGGAAUCAGCUUUGGCUUUGCCGGCUUCAAUAAACAAUGGUAGAGGCAAGAGACACCAGAGCAAUGCUUUUCAAAAUUCUUAAGAAAAACUAUUCCCAGCCUAGAAUUCUGCACCCAGCUAAAUUAUCAAUCAAAUAUGAGUGUAAAAUAAGGGCAUUUUCAGAUAUGCAAGAUUUACUUCCCAUGCGUUCUUUCUUAAGGGGCUACUGGAGGCUGUGCUUCUUGAAUGAGAGGACAAGCCAAGAAAGAACAUAUGGGACACAACAGGUGCAGAAGGAAACAAGUCCAGCCUGAAGAAGUGGGACACCAGGACUCCAGGGAGAGACACACUGAGGGCUUCCAUCACCACCAUCCCCACUGCCAUCAUGCUAACUUUUAAAUCAAGGACUCAAUACCCAGAGUCUGGCCCAGAUUUUUCCUUUGUACUUUCUUUAUUUUGACCACAUGCUGAUAAAGUUCCUGCUCAUUCCUCGAGUGCUCUGAUGCUUGAUCUACUGUGGGUGUCAUCCAGAAAUGUUCUGCCUUGACCUCUU
rnacentral:lncRNA from 1 species